rnacentral:rRNA from 1 species
CAGUGGCGAACGGGUGAGUAACACGUGGGCAAUCUGCCCUGCACUCUGGGACAACACCGGGAAACCGGUGCUAAUACCGGAUACGACGUGCCUCCGCAUGGGGUGUGCGUGGAAAGCUCCGGCGGUGCAGGAUGAGCCCGCGGCCUAUCAGCUUGUUGGUGGGGUGACGGCCUACCAAGGCGACGACGGGUAGCCGGCCUGAGAGGGCGACCGGCCACACUGGGACUGAGACACGGCCCAGACUCCUACGGGAGGCAGCAGUGGGGAAUAUUGCACAAUGGGCGAAAGCCUGAUGCAGCGACGCCGCGUGAGGGAUGACGGCCUUCGGGUUGUAAACCUCUUUCAGCAGGGAAGAAGCGCAAGUGACGGUACCUGCAGAAGAAGCACCGGCUAACUACGUGCCAGCAGCCGCGUUAAUACGUAGGGUGCGAGCGUUGUCCGGAAUUAUUGGGCGUAAAGAGCUCGUAGGCGGCCUGUCGCGUCGGAAUGUGAAAGCCCGGGGCUUACCCCCGGGUCUGCAUUCGAUACGGGCAGGCUAGAGUUCGGUAGGGGGAGAUCGGANUUCCU